rnacentral:lncRNA from 1 species
CUGGACUUUCUGUGUAGCUACACCAAGCCUUCAGAGAUACCCACUCUGCAUUCUAGAUCAAGGCUGCAAGGGGUUUCUGUGCCACUAAAAGAACUUGAGAGGGAUCUUCUUCCCACUCCACAAGAUGGGGGCCAAAAUGAGUGGUUUCCCUGAGAGGUCUGAUUGGAAAAGGAGGUUCCAGAAUAGAGAAUAAAUGGACCUUGGGCUGGUCAUAGAAGCAUAUUAAGGCAGGCAAGAGCACCUAAUGUGGCUUUACCUGUGCCUUUAUUUGUUCUUGCCACUGGCACCAUAUGUGCCAGCCCACAACAAACAAUGGCCUUAUCAGGAUGCUGCAAGAUGAUCCUCCCUCCAGGUGGCUUCACAGCAAAUGAACAAAGGAGCCGUUUAUUUAUUGAUGCUUCACCAGCAACAUUCAGGUUGGCUAUGAGGGGAUGUCUAUGACUG